rnacentral:tRNA from 1 species
GCCCGGGUGGCGAAAUUGGUAGACGCAGUGGAUUCAAAAUCCACCGCUGGCGACAGCGUGUCGGUUCGAGUCCGACCCCGGGCA